AGAGUUUGAUCCUGGCUCAGAAUGAACGCUGGCGGCGUGCCUAACACAUGCAAGUCGGAUGUGCCGCAAGGUGCAUGGCAGACGGGUGAGUAACGCGUGGGGAAUCUACCUCUUUGUGGGGAAUAACGCUCCGAAAGGAGUGGUAAUACCGCAUGAGACCAAUGGCUGGAAUGUUGUUGGUGAAACCUGGGGACCGCAAGGCCUGGGGCAAGGAGAGGAUCCUGCGUCUGAUUAGCUAGUUGGCGGGGUAACGGCCCACCAAGGCGACGAUCAGUAGCCGGCCUGAGAGGGUGAUCGGCCACACUGGAACUGAGACACGGUCCAGACUCCUACGGGAGGCAGCAGUGGGGAAUUUUGCGCAAUGGGCGAAAGCCUGACGCAGCAACGCCGCGUGGGUGAUGAAGGUCUUCGGAUCGUAAAACCCUGUCGUCAGGGACGAAGGUCUGGGGGUUAAUAACCCUUAGGCUUGACGGUACCUGGAGAGGAAGCCCCGGCUAACUCCGUGCCAGCAGCCGCGGUAAUACGGGGGGUGCAAGCGUUGUUCGGAAUUAUUGGGCGUAAAGAGCGUGUAGGCGGCYKGAURWGUCAGAUGUGAAAGCCCUGGGCUUAACCCAGGAAGUGCAUUUGAAACUGUYYSGCUWGARUARGGGAGRGGGAAGUGGAAUUCCUGGUGUAGAGGUGRAAUUCGUAGAUAUCAGGAGGAACACCGGUGGCGAAGGCGACUUCCUGGCCCUAUAYUGACGCUGAGACGCGAGAGCGUGGGUAGCAAACAGGAUUAGAUACCCUGGUAGUCC
rnacentral:rRNA from 1 species